rnacentral:rRNA from 1 species
AACGAACGCUGGCGGCAUGCCUAACACAUGCAAGUCGAACGAGACCUUCGGGUCUAGUGGCGCACGGGUGCGUAACGCGUGGGAACCUGCCCUUAGGUUCGGAAUAACUCCCCGAAAGGGGUGCUAAUACCGGAUAAUGUCUUCGGACCAAAGAUUUAUCGCCUUUGGAUGGGCCCGCGUUGGAUUAGCUAGUUGGUAGGGUAAAAGCUUACCAAGGCGACGAUCCAUAGCUGGUCUGAGAGGAUGAUCAGCCACACUGGGACUGAGACACGGCCCAGACUCCUACGGGAGGCAGCAGUGGGGAAUAUUGGACAAUGGGCGAAAGCCUGAUCCAGCAAUGCCGCGUGAGUGAUGAAGGCCUUAGGGUUGUAAAGCUCUUUUACCCGGGAUGACAAUGACAGUACCGGGAGAAUAAGCUCCGGCUAACUCCGUG